AAAUUGAAGAGUUUGAUCAUGGCUCAGAUUGAACGCUGGCGGCAGGCCUAACACAUGCAAGUCGAACGGUAACAGGAAGCGCUUGCUGCUUCGCUGACGAGUGGCGGACGGGUGAGUAAUGUCUGGGAAACUGCCUGAUGGAGGGGGAUAACUACUGGAAACGGUAGCUAAUACCGCAUAACGUCGCAAGACCAAAGAGGGGGACCU
rnacentral:rRNA from 1 species